AACAAGGAUUCCCCUAGUAACGGCGAGUGAACCGGGAAGAGCUCAAAUUUGAAAUCUGGCGUCCUCAGGGCGUCCGAGUUGUAAUCUAUAGAGGCGUUUUCCGUGCCGGACCGUGUCCAAGUUCCUUGGAACAGGAUAUCAAAGAGGGUGACAAUCCCGUACUUGACACGACGACCGGUGCUCUGUGAUACGUCUUCUACGAGUCGAGUUGUUUGGGAAUGCAGCUCAAAAUGGGUGGUGAGUUCCAUCUAAAGCUAAAUAUUGGCGAGAGACCGAUAGCGAACAAGUACCGUGAGGGAAAGAUGAAAAGCACUUUGGAAAGAGAGUUAAACAGUACGUGAAAUUGUUGAAAGGGAAACGAUUGAAGUCAGUCGUGACCGAGAGGCUCAGCCGGUUCUGCCGGUGUAUUCCCCUCGGUCGGGUCAACAUCAGUUUUGUCCGGUGGAUAAGGGCGGUAGGAAGGUGGCACCCUCGGGUGUGUUAUAGCCUGCCGUCGCAUACAUCGGGUGAGACUGAGGAACGCAGCUCGCCUUUAUGGCCGGGGUUCGCCCACGUCCGAGCUUAGGAUGUUGACAUAAUGGCUUUAAACGACCCGU
rnacentral:rRNA from 1 species